ACGGAGGGUGCAAGCGUUAAUCGGAAUUACUGGGCGUAAAGCGUGCGUAGGCGGAUUGUUAAGUCAGAUGUGAAAGCCCCGGGCUCAACCUGGGAACUGCAUUUGAUACUGGCAGUCUAGAGUGUAGUAGAGGGGGGUAGAAUUCCUAGUGUAGCGGUGAAAUGCGUAGAUAUUAGGAGGAAUACCAGUGGCGAAGGCGACCCCCUGGACUAACACUGACGCUGAGGUACGAAAGCGUGGGUAGCGAACAGG
rnacentral:rRNA from 1 species